GUACCGCGGCUGCUGGCACGUAGUUAGCCGAUCCUUAUUCCCAUGGUACAGUCCUUUCUCUUCCCAUGGAAAAGCACUUUACGAUCCGAAGACCUUCAUCGUGCACGCGGUAUUGCUGCGUCAGGCUUUCGCCCAUUGUGGAAGAUUCCUUACUGCUGCCUCCCGUAGGAGUCUGGGCCGUAUCUCAGUCCCAGUGUGGCUGGUCAACCUCUCGAUCCAGCUACUGAUCGUCGCCUUGGUGAGCCAUUACCUCAACCAACUAGCUAAUCAGACGCAGGCCCCUCCCGAAGCGCAAAAGCUUUACUUAUGACUAGCAUAAGACUAUGGGGUAUUAGCCACCCUUUCGGGCAGUUAUUCCCCACUUCGGGGCAGGUACCAACGUGUUACUCACCCGUCCGCCACUCAAUCACUCAUAUAUUCCGCUCGCAAAUGUGGAAAUUCCACGGCUGCGAGCGAAUAAAGUGAUCGCGUACGACUUGCAUGUAUUAGGCAUGCCGCCAGCGUUCAUCCUGAGCCAGGAUCAAACUC
rnacentral:rRNA from 1 species